rnacentral:rRNA from 1 species
UACGUAGGGGGCUAGCGUUGUCCGGAUUUAUUGGGCGUAAAGAGCGUGUAGGCGGCCAUGUAGGUCCGGUGUGAAAACUCGAGGCUUAACCUCGAGAUGUCAUCGGAAACCAUUUGGCUAGAGUCCGGAAGAGGAGAGUGGAAUUCCUGGUGUAGCGGUGAAAUGCGCAGAUAUCAGGAGGAACACCAAUGGCGAAAGCAGCUCUCUGGGACGGUACUGACGCUGAGACGCGAAAGCGUGGGGAGCGAACAGG